AAAAAGACAAAUCAUGGAUUUUCGUGUUCAACUUUGACUGUCCGUCUUAUAUGAAAUUUUUUUAUAAUUAAUAUUUUAUGCGUGACUUGUCUUUUUAAUUUUUUUCAUAAUUUUUUCAAAUAAGACGAACGGCCAAAUAUUAGACACGGAAACCAGGGUUUGUCUUUUU
rfam:Oryza sativa (indica cultivar-group) chromosome 6, whole genome shotgun sequence.